rnacentral:lncRNA from 1 species
CUUAUCCCUUUGUGGGCUUUGCAUGGUUGACUCCCGAGUUUUCCUCCUCGGUACUGGAAAGUUGUGAAGCACUCUGCAUUUUGGCUGGGGAGAGCGCUGUGCUCUCAGUAGUGAUGCUGUAUUGGUGUUUAAUUUUCUAUCGUGCUUCUAGUGUUCAUCAGAGAAAAGUCAAACAGGUCGUUUGGCUUUGUAAAACUGCAUUUAGACCAGUUCUUGUUAAAAAAUAAAAAUUAAACCAGACCAUGCCGUUCUACACCUCUGCUCCUAGCAUGGAUUUUUCCAGGAACUUCUGUUUGAUGUGACAACUUCCAGCAAAGGCAGUGGAGCUGGCAAGCCAGCCGUUGCAGGAGGUGGAACGGGAGACAGUUACUGUUCCGUCCUUCAAGGAAUGCGGUAUUUUUACUGUGCUAAGGAAACGGGGUUGUUCAGUCCCGUGUUUUUGCAAGCAACACCUGAACUCGCUGUAGCUGGUGGCUCAAAGCAAAGCCACUUGCGUUGGAAACAGUUUCCUCCUUGCUUAUGAUUAUCUUCAGCGUAGCAUUGGAAGUGAAAUCCAGGGCCUUUUUCUACCAGGGCUUGAAAACUUUUAAGUGGGUGGUGGGUUUUUUGUUUUGUUUUAAGAAAAACAUUCUUUCAAACUUUGACUUGAAAUGCGUUUUAUGAUUCUAAAGGGGUUGGUAGUACGCGGAGUAAAGUUUAACGGUAGUUCUGUGCCUGGGAAUAACUGUGCUGCGUGUAAACACAAUUCAGAAAUGUUUAGCAUCUAUUUUUAUUCCUCAAGUCAGUGACUAUGAAAGGCUUCAGCCUGCGCCGGCAAAAUCAUGAUGGGCGUUCUUCGGGAUUUCACCGAAUGCUACAAAUGCCUCGCAAGUCCCUCGUGCUGGAGGCUGGAUCUGAGGACGGGGUCAGAGCUCCAGAUGGAUGGGGCACGUUGCCUUGGGGCACUUCACUUCAAGGGCAGUGCAGACAGCGAGAGAAGGAAUAUUUUUAGAGAACUGCAGGGCCAAAGAACAACAACAAAAAAAGCAGAUUACAGUCCUCCUUUACGUAAUGCCUCUCUGCCUUUUGUUCCAAUAACGGCUAAGAGCUAGGUGGUGUCGUACGCAGGCGUUACAGCAGGAGAUGGCAAUCAGGAGCCCAUUUUCAGCCACCAGCCCAGGGUGAGGGGCUGGUUUUCGUUCCCCUGGAUUGACUCACGC